GCUUCGGUAGCUCAGUUGGUAGAGCAGAGGACUGAAAAUUCUCGUGUCGGCGGUUCGAAACCGUCCUGAAGCA
rnacentral:tRNA from 1 species